UGAACGCUGGCGGCGUGCCUAAUACAUGCAAGUCGCGCGAACAGACGAGGAGCUUGCUCCUCUGCCGUUAGCGGCGGACGGGUGAGUAACACGUGUAUAACCUACCUAUAAGACUGGGAUAACUUCGGGAAACCGGAGCUAAUACCGGAUAAUAUAUUGAACCGCAUGGUUCAAUAGUGAAAGACGGUUUUGCUGUCUCUUAUAUAUGGAUCCGCGCCGCAUUAGCUAGUUGGUAAGGUAACGGCUUACCAAGGCAACGAUGCGUAGCCGACCUGAGAGGGUGAUCGGCCACACUGGAACUGAGACACGGUCCAGACUCCUACGGGAGGCAGCAGUAGGGAAUAUGCCGCAAUGGGCGAAAGCCUGACGGAGCAACGCCGCGUGAGUGAUGAAGGUCUUCGGAUCGUAAAACUCUGUUAUUAGGGAAGAACAAAUGUGUAAGUAACUAUGCACGUCUUGACGGUACCUAAUCAGAAAGCCACGGCUAACUACGUG
rnacentral:rRNA from 1 species